AGCCUGAUGCUCUAGUCAUUGCUUAAUUUAACCAUCAAGAGCUAAAGGUCUAUGGCAACCCAAUUUAGCAUAUCUCUAGCCGAGGGGCAAUCCACAAACCAACCUUCACUUUUCAGUGGGUCAAACUACACUUAUUGAAAAGCUUGAAUGAGAAUUUUUAUACAAGUACUUGACUAUGACAUGUGAAAUAUCAUAGUAAAUAGACCACACAUACCCACUAAAUUAAUUGAUGGUGUGUCUC
rnacentral:lncRNA from 1 species